rnacentral:rRNA from 1 species
GACGUAGGGGGCCAGCGUUGCUCGGAAUUACUGGGCGUAAAGGGUUCGUAGGCGGUGUGGCAAGUCGGGAGUGAAAUCUCUGGGCUUAACUCAGAGGCUGCUUCCGAAACUGCCGUGCUAGAGUGCGGGAGAGGCGAGUGGAAUUGCAGGUGUAGCGGUGAAAUGCGCAGAUAUCAGGAAGAACACCCGUGGCUAAGGCGGCUCUCUAGUACGUGACUGACGCUGAGACGCGAAAGCGUGGGGAGCGAACAGG